rnacentral:rRNA from 1 species
UACGUAGGGUGCAAGCGUUAUCCGGAUUUACUGGGUUUAAAGGGUGCGUAGGUGGGUCUGUAAGUCAGUGGUGAAAUCUCCGAGCUUAACUCGGAAACUGCCAUUGAUACUAUAGGUCUUGAAUUAUCUGGAGGUAAGCGGAAUAUGUCAUGUAGCGGUGAAAUGCUUAGAUAUGACAUAGAACACCAAUUGCGUAGGCAGCUCGCUACACAUAUAUUGACGCUGAGGCACGAAAGCGUGGGGAUCAAACAGG